rnacentral:rRNA from 1 species
CGGCGUGCUUAACACAUGCAAGUCGAACGGUGACCCAGGGCUUGCCCUGGUGAUCAGUGGCGAACGGGUGAGUAACACGUGGGCAACCUGCCCCUGACUUCGGGAUAACUCCUCGAAAGAGGAGCUAAUACCGGAUACGACCCACUUCGGACAUCCGAUGGUGGUGGAAAGUUUUUCGGUCAGGGAUGGGCCCGCGGCCUAUCAGCUAGUUGUGGGGUAAUGGCCUACCAAGGCGACGACGGGUAGCCGGCCUGAGAGGGCGACCGGCCACACUGGGACUGAGACGCGGCCCAGACUCCUACGGGAGGCAGCAGUGGGGAAUAUUGCGCAAUGGCGAAAGCCUGACGCAGCGACGCCGCGUGAGGGAUGAAGGCCUUCGGGUUGUAAACCUCUUUCAGCAGGGACGAAGCGAAAGUGACGGUACCUGCAGAAGAAGCACCGGCUAACUACGUG